rnacentral:rRNA from 1 species
ACGGGGUGCAGCAGGCGCGAAAACUUUACAAUGCGGGAAACCGUGAUAAGGGGACACCGAGUGCCAGCAUCAUAUGCUGGCUGUCCAGGUGUGUAAAAUACACCUGUUAGCAAGGGCCGGGCAAGACCGGUGCCAGCCGCCGCGGUAACACCGGCGGCCCGAGUGGUGAUCGUGAUUAUUGGGUCUAAAGGGUCCGUAGCCGGUUUGGUCAGUCCUCCGGGAAAUCUGACGGCUCAACUGUUAGGCUUUCGGGGGAUACUGCCAGACUUGGAACCGGGAGAGGUAAGAGGUACUACAGGGGUAGGAGUGAAAUCUUGUAAUCCCUGUGGGACCACCUGUGGCGAAGGCGUCUUACCAGAACGGGUUCGACGGUGAGGGACGAAAGCUGGGGGCACGAACCGGAUUAGAUACCCGGGUAGUCCCAGCCGUAAACGAUGCUCGCUAGGUGUCAGGCAUGGCGCGACCGUGUCUGGUGCCGCAGGGAAGCCGUGAAGCGAGCCACCUGGGAAGUACGGCCGCAAGGCUGAAACUUAAAGGAAUUGGCGGGGGAGCAC